rnacentral:rRNA from 1 species
CUGCCCGGUGCCGGAAGGUUAAUUGAUGGGGUUAGCGCAAGCGAAGCUCUUGAUCGAAGCCCCGGUAAACGGCGGCCGUAACUAUAACGGUCCUAAGGUAGCGAAAUUCCUUGUCGGGUAAGUUCCGACCUGCACGAAUGGCGUAACGAUGGCGGCGCUGUCUCCACCCGAGACUCAGUGAAAUUGAAAUCGCUGUGAAGAUGCAGUGUAUCCGCGGCUAGACGGAAAGACCCCGUGAACCUUUACUGUAGCUUUGCACUGGACUUUGAGCCUGCUUGUGUAGGAUAGGUGGGAGGCUUUGAAGCGUGGACGCCAGUUCGCGUGGAGCCAUCCUUGAAAUACCACCCUGGCAUGCUUGAGGUUCUAACUCUGGUCCGUAAUCCGGAUCGAGGACAGUGUAUGGUGGGCAGUUUGACUGGGGCGGUCUCCUCCUAAAGAGUAACGGAGGAGUACGAAGGUGCGCUCAGACCGGUCGGAAAUCGGUCGUAGAGUAUAAAGGCAAAAGCGCGCUUGACUGCGAGACAGACACGUCGAGCAGGUACGAAAGUAGGUCUUAGUGAUCCGGUGGUUCUGUAUGGAAGGGCCAUCGCUCAACGGAUAAAAGGUACUCCGGGGAUAACAGGCUGAUACCGCCCAAGAGUUCAUAUCGACGGCGGUGUUUGGCACCUCGAUGUCGGCUCAUCACAUCCUGGGGCUGAAGCCGGUCCCAAGGGUAUGGCUGUUCGCCAUUUAAAGUGGUACGCGAGCUGGGUUUAGAACGUCGUGAGACAGUUCGGUCCCUAUCUGCCGUGGACGUUUGAGAUUUGAGAGGGGCUGCUCCUAGUACGAGAGGACCGGAGUGGACGAACCUCUGGUGUUCCGGUUGUCACGCCAGUGGCAUUGCCGGGUAGCUAUGUUCGGAAAAGAUAACCGCUGAAAGCAUCUAAGCGGGAAACUUGCCUCAAGAUGAGAUCUCACUGGGAACUUGAUUCCCCUGAAGGGCCGUCGAAGACUACGACGUUGAUAGGCUGGGUGUGUAAGCGUUGUGAGGCGUUGAGCUAACCAGUACUAAUUGCCCGUGAGGCUUGACCAU